UAAAAGUCGUAACAAGGCAUAUCAAUAAGGGGAGGAACUGGAAUCCAAGCUACCAAGCCAUGGAUGAAAAUCCAUGGUGGCCAGGUUAACGACCUCGGGUACGGUAACAACGCUGGAGAUGCUACAAUGGAUAAUCCGCAGCCAAGUCCUCAGCUUGCUUGCUCAAGUAUGGAUGCUGUUCACAGACUCAAUGGUGGUGGGUGGACCGGUUCACGGAACCGGCCUGCUUAAGAUAGAGUCGGGCCCCCACAGGAAACUUGGGGGGCAGUCACUUGAGUGAUACCAAAUGUUCCGUAGGUGAACCUGCGGAAGGAUCAUUA
rnacentral:rRNA from 1 species